UACGUAAGAGACUAGUGUUAUUCAUCUUCAAUAGGUUUAAAGGGUACUUAGACGGAAAAAAUUCGCCCUUUUUAUAGGGGACAAUUUUUUUCUAGAGUUUUAUGCAGGGAAGUAGUACUUAUGAGUGGAAAGUUGAUAUUUGCUGAUACCUAGGGGACUAGUAAAGGUGAAGACAACUUCUUAUGUAUAACUGACGUUGAAGGACGAAGGCUUAGCGAACGAACAGG
rnacentral:rRNA from 1 species